AAGUCGAGGGGUAACAGGGGAGCUUGCUUCCGCUGACGACCGGCGCACGGGUGCGUAACGCGUAUGCAACCUACCUUCUACAGGGGGAUAGUCAAUAGAAAUGUUGAAUAAUACCCCGUACGAUCUUAGAGUAUCAUUACUUUAAGAAGAAAGCUUCGGCGGUAGAAGAUGGGCAUGCGUCCUAUUAGUUAGUUGGUAAGGUAACGGCUUACCAAGACUACGAUAGGUAGGGGCCCUGAGAGGGGGAUCCCCCACACUGGUACUGAGACACGGACCAGACUCCUACGGGAGGCAGCAGUGAGGAAUAUUGGACAAUGGAGGUAACUCUGAUCCAGCCAUGCCGCGUGCAGGAAGACUGCCCUAUGGGUUGUAAACUGCUUUUAUACAGGAAGAAACCUACUUACGUGUAAGUAGCUGACGGUACUGUAAGAAUAAGGAUCGGCUAACUCCGUGCCAGCAGCCGCGGUAAUACGGAGGAUCCAAGCGUUAUCCGGAAUCAUUGGGUUUAAAGGGUCCGCAGGCGGUCUUUUAAGUCAGAGGUGAAAGCCUACAGCUCAACUGUAGAACGGCCUUUGAAACUGAAAGACUUGAGUUAUUGUGAAGUGGUUAGAAUGUGUGGUGUAGCGGUGAAAUGCAUAGAUAUCACACAG
rnacentral:rRNA from 1 species